rnacentral:piRNA from 1 species
UGCCCCUUCAGUGACGGGCGGCGG